rnacentral:misc_RNA from 1 species
UUAAGUUCAGCGGGUAUUCCUACCUGAUCCGAGGUCAACCUUGUAAAUAAAUUCUCCCUGAGGGGAGGCAGACCGUGCCCCGCGCACCCUUGAUCCAGUACGUGUCCCGUGAAGAACUCAGUGUACCGGGGGUCCAACGAGGCCGCCGUCAUUGUCUUUGGGAGGGGCGAGAGCCCCAGAGGGACCUUCGCCGACCGUCC